GUGGGGAAUAUUGGACAAUGGGCGAAAGCCUGAUCCAGCCAUGCCGCGUGUGUGAAGAAGGUCUUCGGAUUGUAAAGCACUUUAAGUUGGGAGGAAGGGCAGUAAGUUAAUACCUUGCUGUUUUGACGUUACCGACAGAAUAAGCACCGGCUAACUUCGUGCCAGCAGCCGCGGUAAUACGAAGGGUGCAAGCGUUAAUCUGAAUUACUGGGCGUAAAGCGCGCGUAGGUGGUUUUGUAAGUUGGAGGUGAAAUCCCCGGGCUCAACCUGGGAACUGCCUCCAAAACUGCAUGACUAGAGUACGGUAGAGGGUAGUGGAAUUUCCUGUGUAGCGGUGAAAUGCGUAGAUAUAGGAAGGAACACCAGUGGCGAAGGCGACUACCUGGACUGAUACUGACACUGAGGUGCGAAAGCGUGGGGAGCAAACAGGAUUAGAAACCCGUGUAGUCC
rnacentral:rRNA from 1 species